AUUGAACGCUGGCGGCAGGCCUAACACAUGCAAGUCGAGCGGAGCGGCGGACGGGUGAGUAAUGCCUAGGAAUCUGCCUGGUAGUGGGGGAUAACGUCCGGAAACGGGAGCUAAUACCGCAUACUAUCAGAUGAGCCUAGGUGGGAUUAGCUAGCUGGUGGGGUAAAGGCCUACCACGGCUACGAUCCGUAACUGGUCUGAGAGGAUGAUCAGUCACACUGGAACUGAGACACGGUCCAGACUCCUACGGGAGGCAGCAGUGGGGAAUAUUGGACAAUGGGCGCAAGCCUGAUCCAGCCAUGCCGCGUGUGUGAAGAAGGUCUUCGGAUUGUAAAGCACUUUAAGUUGGGAGGCGUUACCAACAGAAUAAGCACCGGCUAACUUCGUGCCAGCAGCCGCGGUAAUUC
rnacentral:rRNA from 1 species